rnacentral:rRNA from 1 species
GUGCAGCAGUCGCGAAACCUCCGCAAUACACGAAAGUGUGACGGGGCCAUCCCGAGUGCCGUCCGCUGAGGACGGCUUUUCCCCAGUGUACACAGCUGGGGGAAUAAGGAGAGGGCAAGCCUGGUGUCAGCCGCCGCGGUAAUACCAGCUCUCCGAGUGGUGGGGACGCUUAUUGGGCCUAAAGCAUCCGUAGCCGGCUGGGCAAGUCCUCCGUUAAAUCCAACGAUUCAAUCGUUGGGCUGCGGGGGAUACUGUCCAGCUUGGGGGCGGGAGAGGCCGACGGUAUUCCCGGGGUAGGGGUGAAAUCCUAUAAUCCCGGGAGGACCACCAGUGGCGAAGGCUGUCGGCUAGAACGCGCCCGACGGUGAGGGAUGAAAGCUGGGGGAGCGAACCGGAUUAGAUACCCGCGUAGU